rnacentral:snoRNA from 1 species
GAGUGAUGAUGUUUUAACCUAUUCCAUUUCUGAACACUCUGUGGAAAAAAAUAACUGAACUC